rnacentral:rRNA from 1 species
CCUACGGGGUGCUGCAGUGAGGAAUAUUGGUCAAUGGACGAGAGUCUGAACCAGCCAAGUAGCGUGAAGGAUGACUGCCCUAUGGGUUGUAAACUUCUUUUAUAAAGGAAUAAAACGAGGCACGUGUGCCUUUUUGCAUGUACUUUAUGAAUAAGGAUCGGGUAACUCCGUGCCAGCAGCCGCGGUAAUACGGGGGAUCCGGCGUUUUCCGGAUUUAAUUGGUUUAAAGGGGGCGUAGAUGGGUUGUUAAGUCAGUUGUGAAAGUUCGCGGCUCAACCGUAAAAUUGGAAUUGAUACUGGAAGUCUUGAGUACAGUUGAGGUAGGCGGAAUUCGUGGUGUAGCGGUGAAAUGCUUAGAUAUCACGAAGAACACCGAUUGCGAAGGCAGCUUACUAAACUGUGACUGACAUUGAGGCUCGAAAGUGUGGGUAUCAAACAGGAUUAGAUACCCCAGUAGUC